rnacentral:tRNA from 1 species
GCAACGAUAGCUUAAUUAUAAAAGCAUUGGUCUUGUAAGCCAAAGAUGAAUUGAACAUUCUCGUUGCU